AGUGAACGCUGGCGGUAGGCCUAACACAUGCAAGUCGAACGGCAGCACAGUAAGAGCUUGCUCUUACGGGUGGCGAGUGGCGGACGGGUGAGGAAUACAUCGGAAUCUACUUUUUCGUGGGGGAUAACGUAGGGAAACUUACGCUAAUACCGCAUACGACCUACGGGUGAAAGCAGGGGAUCUUCGGACCUUGCGCGAUUGAAUGAGCCGAUGUCGGAUUAGCUAGUUGGCGGGGUAAAGACCCACCAAGGCGAGGCUCCGUAGCUGGUCUGAGAGGAUGAUCAGCCACACGGGAACUGAGAAAAGGUGCAGACACCUACGGGAGGCAGCAAUGGGGAAUAUUGGACGAGGGGCGAAAGCCUGAGCCAGUCAUACCACAUAGGAGAAGAAGGACCUCGAGUUGUAAAGCCCUUUUGUUGGGAAAGAAAAGCAGCAGGUUAAGACCCCGCUGUACUGACGGUACCCAAAGAAUAAGCACCGGCUAACUUCGUG
rnacentral:rRNA from 1 species